rnacentral:rRNA from 1 species
GAGCGGACAGAUGGGAGCUUGCUCCCUGAUGUUAGCGGCGGACGGGUGAGUAACACGUGGGUAACCUGCCUGUAAGACUGGGAUAACUCCGGGAAACCGGGGCUAAUACCGGAUGCUUGUUUGAACCGCAUGGUUCAAACAUAAAAGGUGGCUUCGGCUACCACUUACAGAUGGACCCGCGGCGCAUUAGCUAGUUGGUGAGGUAACGGCUCACCAAGGCAACGAUGCGUAGCCGACCUGAGAGGGUGAUCGGCCACACUGGGACUGAGACACGGCCCAGACUCCUACGGGAGGCAGCAGUAGGGAAUCUUCCGCAAUGGACGAAAGUCUGACGGAGCAACGCCGCGUGAGUGAUGAAGGUUUUCGGAUCGUAAAGCUCUGUUGUUAGGGAAGAACAAGUACCGUUCGAAUAGGGCGGUACCUUGACGGUACCUAACCAGAAAGCCACGGCUAACUACGUGCCAGCAGCCGCGGUAAUACGUAGGUGGCAAGCGUUGUCCGGAAUUAUUGGGCGUAAAGGGCUCGCAGGCGGUUCCUUAAGUCUGAUGUGAAAGCCCCCGGCUCAACCGGGGAGGGUCAUUGGAAACUGGGGAACUUGAGUGCAGAAGAGGAGAGUGGAAUUCCACGUGUAGCGGUGAAAUGCGUAGAGAUGUGGAGGAACACCAGUGGCGAAGGCGACUCUCUGGUCUGUAACUGACGCUGAGGAGCGAAAGCGUGGGGAGCGAACAGGAUUAGAUACCCUGGUAGUCCACGCCGUAAACGAUGAGUGCUAAGUGUU